AAGUCGUAACAAGGUUUCCGUAGGUGAACCUGCGGAAGGAUCAUUAUCGAGUUAGGGUCUUCAUGGCCUGACCUCCAACCCUGUGUUUAUCAUACCACGUUGCUUCGGCGGGUCCGUCUUUCAUCGGACCGCCGGGGGUCGCGAGACUUCCUGGCCCGCGCCCGCCGAUGACCCCAAUAUCAAACUAACUGCUGAUAACCUAAUCGUUAGUUCUCGAGUUUCUUAAAUUUAAAUAAAAACAAAA
rnacentral:misc_RNA from 1 species